CCCAAAAAAAAAAAAUUACCCUUAUUCCUCUCUGUGUCUCUCUCUCUAAAAAUUACUAAAUCUUAUUCCUUCACUUAUAAGCUCAAGUGCUAAAGUAAUUUAAAUUUCUUGGAGUUGGAGGUCUAUUGGAAAGUUGUUACGUUCUAGUUGUGUUGUAAAUACCCUUUUAUUCAUUUGCAAAAUAUAAUUUAGGACCACCUACAUCCACGGAUUGCGUUCUCAUCCAAUGUGCCUCGACUUUCAUAAGCCUGCAAACUUUUGGUAUUUAUCCUUAUUGAUUGAAAAAUCAUGGGCUCUAGUUUUGAAAACAACUUCAUUGCAUAAAGAAUAAAAGGCAAGGGGAAGGCUGUGGACAAAUACGACCCGCUCCAACUCUCAUAGAGCGGUGAAUCUCGUGCUUGGGGAUGCUCUUUUAAUCUAGAUCAACCUUAAUGUUCAUCCUUGACUUCUUCCAACUUUUGGGGCAAGGUUAUUAUGGCAUGAAGGUGCACCAAGCAGUCACUAAUUCAGGAGCAAGGUAAGUUCAUUUUUGUCAUCUCCUCUCAGCUUUGUUGCCUUGGUUAGUAUGGAAAAGACUCCUACGCUUAUUUGUUUAUGAUAUUAAUGUUUUCUCGACACCCACCAUUUCUUUAUCAGGAGCGUCAGGUAUAUGUGAAUUGAGCAGUGGGAUGGGGGGGGCGGGGGGGGGGGGGGGGGGGGGGGGGCAGAUAAUUUUACAGGGAAGAUGGCCUCCCACUCAUUCAGGGCAAAGAAAAUCCUAAGAAUACACCUAGCAUUGUGCUCGCUGGCUUGGAAAUGAUUGAGACUGCAGGGUCUGCUGCCAGCAACUCUGGUCAGAAUGUUAAAACUAAUACGAGACAGUUCCAACAAUUCUCUGGAUCAAAGGUAAUAAUCUAGAAGCUGCCGUAGUUGCAUGAUGUUGAUUGGGAGCAUGAUGUUGAUUGGGAAGGGGUUGUAGUAUGGAACAGAGAGCGUGAAAGAGAAGAGUUCAGAAUGCAAUGGAAAAGAUGUGAUAUAUAUAUAUAUAUAUAUUUUUAUAUGCAUUAUUGAUUUAACAAAAGAUCAAUAUUUACACUCCUUUCAACGAUAAAGAUCAGCCUUUUCAAUUCAAUCUACAAGCAAGCAGACGAGACGACUUGAUCUAACCCAAUUCCCAAAUAAACGCGCCAAAAUAUAGAACCUCCUUCCAUCAAUCCA